UAUGUUCCUAGGCUGGAUAACAGUAGACUCAUAGAAAUUGUUCCUAGAGAUGUAAACAUGAAAGGCAAAUUCAUUCAGCAUUUCACAGCAGGACCAGUCAAGUUCUCGUCGGAGUGCAGGACACACUUUCAUAGACUUUAUCACAACACAAGGGAUUGCUCAAGACCAG